rnacentral:rRNA from 1 species
GGAGGAAAAGAAACUAACUAGGAUUCCCUUAGUAACGGCGAGUGAACCGGGAUGAGCUCAAAUUUAAAAUCUGGCGUCUUUCAGGCGUCCGAGUUGUAAUCUAUAGAGGCGUUUUCCGCGCCGGACCGCGUCCAAGUCUCUUGGAAUAGAGUAUCAAAGAGGGUGACAAUCCCGUACUUGACGCGACAACCGGUGCUCUGUGAUACGUUCUCAAUGAGUCGAGUUGUUUGGGAAUGCAGCUCUAAAUGGGUGGUAAAUUCCAUCUAAGGCUAAAUAUUGGCGAGAGACCGAUAGCGAACAAGUACCGUGAGGGAAAGAUGAAAAGCACUUUGGAAAGAGAGUUAAACAGCACGUGAAAUUGUUAAAAGGGAAACGAUUGAAGUCAGUCGUGUGAAAGGUAUUCAGCCGUCUCUGGCGGUGUAUUUGCCUUUCACGGGUCAACAUCAGUUUGAUCCGGUAGAAAAGGGCAGGAGGAAGGUGGCACCCUCGGGUGUGUUAUAGCCUCUUGUCAUAUGUGCCGGACCAGACUGAGGAACGCAGCUUGCCGCAAGGCCGGGGUUCGCCCACGUACAAGCUUAGG